UACGUAGGGCGCAAGCGUUAUCCGGAGUUAUUGGGCGUAAAGAGCUCGUAGGCGGUUUGUCGCGUCUGCCGUGAAAGUCCGGGGCUCAACUCCGGAUCUGCGGUGGGUACGGGCAGACUAGAGUGAUGUAGGGGAGACUGGAAUUCCUGGUGUAGCGGUGAAAUGCGCAGAUAUCAGGAGGAACACCGGUGGCGAAGGCGGGUCUCUGGGCCGAUACUGACGCUGAGGAGCGAAAGCGUGGGGAGCAAACAGG
rnacentral:rRNA from 1 species